rnacentral:rRNA from 1 species
UACGGGGGGAGCAAGCGUUUGUUCGGAUUUACUGGGCGUAAAGGGCGCGUAGGCGGUCGUGACAAGUCACUUGUGAAAUCUCCGGGCUUAACCCGGAGCGGUCAAGUGAUACUGUCGGACUAGAGUACAGAAGGGGCAACUGGAAUUCUCGGUGUAGCGGUGAAAUGCGUAGAUAUCGAGAGGAACACCUGCGGCGAAGGCGGGUUGCUGGGCUGAUACUGACGCUGAGGCGCGAAAGCCAGGGGAGCGAACGGG